GAUGAACGCUAGCGGCAGGCUUAACACAUGCAAGUCGAGGGGUAGAGGCUUUCGGGCCUUGAGACCGGCGCACGGGUGCGUAACGCGUAUGCAAUCUGCCUUGUACUGGGGGAUAGCCCAGAGAAAUUUGGAUUAAUACCCCAUAGUAUUUUCGGUUGGCAUCAACUGAUUAUUAACGUUUUUCGGUACAAGAUGAGCAUGCGUCCCAUUAGCUAGUUGGUAUGGUAACGGCAUACCAAGGCUACGAUGGGUAGGGGUCCUGAGAGGGAGAUCCCCCACACUGGUACUGAGACACGGACCAGACUCCUACGGGAGGCAGCAGUGAGGAAUAUUGGUCAAUGGUCGCAAGACUGAACCAGCCAUGCCGCGUGCAGGAUGAAGCAUCUAUGGUUCGUAAACUUCUUUUGCAGGGGAAUAAAGUGCAGGACGUGUCCUGUUUUGUAUGUACCCUGAGAAUAAGGAUCGGCUAACUCCGUGCCAGCCGCCGCUGUAACAC
rnacentral:rRNA from 1 species